GAUAAACGCUGGCGGUGUACAUAAGACAUGCAAGUCGAACGGGAGAAGACUGGAAGAUUUAUCUACUAGCUCGGACACCGUGGCGGACGGGUGAGUAACACGUAAGCAACCUGCCUAUAAGAGGGGAAUAACAGUGAGAAAUUACUGAUAAUACCGCAUAAGCUGGAGGUAUCGCAUGAUACAUUCAGAAAAGAUUUAUCGCUUAUAGAUGGGCUUGCGUCUGAUUAGCUAGUUGGUGAGAUAACAGCUCACCAAGGCGACGAUCAGUAGCCGGAUUGAGAGGUUGAACGGCCACAUUGGGACUGAGACACGGCCCAGACUCCUACGGGAGGCAGCAGUCGGGAAUAUUGCACAAUGGAGGAAACUCUGAUGCAGUGACACCGCGUAUAGGAAGAAGGUCUUAGGAUUGUAAGCUAU
rnacentral:rRNA from 1 species